GUCCUCUCAGGGUUGCUUCUGGAGAGUUUCCAGGACUCUACCGAUCUCGACUUCAGGAGGGAGAGUCAAGCAGAGGCCUACCCAUUCCAUUCCUAGCUUGGGCAGUGGCUAGCGAGUGGAAGGCAAUCUGCUACAAGU
rnacentral:snoRNA from 1 species